rnacentral:rRNA from 1 species
AUUGAACGCUGGCGGCAGGCCUAACACAUGCAAGUCGAACGGUAACAGGAAGAAGCUUGCUUCUUUGCUGACGAGUGGCGGACGGGUGAGUAAUGUCUGGGAAACUGCCUGAUGGAGGGGGAUAACUACUGGAAACGGUAGCUAAUACCGCAUAACGUCGCAAGACCAAAGAGGGGGACCUUCGGGCCUCUUGCCAUCGGAUGUGCCCAGAUGGGAUUAGCUAGUAGGCGGGGUAACGGAUCACCUAGGCGCCGAUCCCUAGCUGGUCUGAGAGGAUGACCGGCCACAGUGGAGAUGAGACACGGUGCAGACUCGGACGGGAGGCAGCGGUGGGGAAUAGAGGACAAAGGGCGGAAGUCUGAACCAGACACAGCGGGUGAGUGAAGAAGGCCGUCGAGUUGUAAAGCCAUUAUGUUGGGAGAAAAAAGAAGCAGCUUAAGACCCCGCUGGUCGGACGGGACCGAAAGAAUAAGCACCGGCUAACUUCGG